rnacentral:rRNA from 1 species
CCUACGGGAGGCAGCAGUGGGGGAUAUUGCACAAUGGAGGAAACCCUGAUGCAGCAACGCCGCGUGAGCGAAGAAGUAUUUCGGUAUGUAAAGCCCUAUCAGCAGGGAAGAAGAAAUGACGGUACCUGAGUAAGAAGCACCGGCUAAAUACGUGCCAGCAGCCGCGGUAAGACGUAGGGUGCAAGCGUUAUCCGGGUUUACUGGGGGGAAAGGGAGCGCAGGCGGCACGGCAAGCCUGAUGUGAAAACCCGCGGCCCAACCGCGGGACUGCAUUGGGAACUAUCGGGCUGGAGUGCCGGAGAGGUAGGCGGAAUUCCUAGUGUAGCGGUGAAAUGCGUAGAUAUUAGGAGGAAAACCAGUGGCGAAGGCGGCCUACUGGACGGUGACUGACGCUGAGGCUCGAAAGCGUGGGGAGCAAACAGGAUUAGAUACCCCAGUAGUC